rnacentral:rRNA from 1 species
AGUGAACGCUGGCGGUAGGCCUAACACAUGCAAGUCGAACGGCAGCACAGUAAGAGCUUGCUCUUACGGGUGGCGAGUGGCGGACGGGUGUGGAAUACAUCGGAAUCUACUUUUUCGUGGGGGAUAACGAAGGGAAACUUACGCUAAUACCGCAUACGACCUACGGGUGAAAGCAGGGGAUCUUCGGACCUUGCGCGAUUGAAUGAGCCGAUGUCGGCUUAGCUAGUUGGCGGGGUAAAGGCCCACCAAGUCGACGAUCCGUAGCUGGUCUGAGAGGAUGAUCGGCCACACUGGAACUGAGACACGGUCCAGACGCCUACGGGAGGCAGCAGUGGGGAAUAUUGGACAAUAGGCGCAAGCCUGAUCCAACCAUACCGAGUGGGUGAAGAAGGCCUUCGGGUUGUAAAGCCCUUUUGUUGGGAAAGAAAAGCAGCAGGUUAAGACCCCGCUGUUCUGACGGUACCCAAAGAAUAAGCACCGGCUAACUUCGUG